rnacentral:rRNA from 1 species
UGUAGUCUGCAACCCGACUACAUGAAGCCGGAAUCGCUAGUAAUCGCGGAUCAGAAUGCCGCGGUGAAUACGUUCCCGGGUCUUGUACACACCGCCCGUCACACCAUGGGAGUCGGAAAUGCCCGAAGUCUGUGACCCAACCGCAAGGAGGGAGCAGCCGAAGGCAGGUCGGAUGACUGGGGUGAAGUCGUAACAAGGUAUC